GGAAGGAUCAUUAUCGAAUCGUCAACACGAGUUGUUGCUGGCCCUCAGGCGGGGGCAUGUGCACGCUCUGUUUGCAUCCACUCACACCUGUGCACCCUCUGUAGUUCUGUGGUCUGGGGGGGGGGACCCCCCUUCCGGCCGUGGUUCUAUGUCUUUACACACACCCUGUAACUCGGUCUUAUGGAAUGUAUGCAGCGUUUAACGCAAUACAAUACAACUUUCAGCAACGGAUCUCUUGGCUCUCGCAUCGAUGAAGAACGCAGCGAAAUGCGAUAAGUAAUGUGAAUUGCAGAAUUCAGUGAAUCAUCGAAUCUUUGAACGCACCUUGCGCCCUUUGGCCAUUCCGAAGGGCAUGCCUGUUUGAGUAUCAUGAACACCUCAACUCUCGUGGCUUGCCAUGAUGAGCUUGGACUUGGAGGCUUUGCCGGCCUGUGGUCGGCUCCUCUCAAACGAAUCAGCUUACCAGCAUAUGGUGGCGUUGCAGGUGUGAUAACUAUCUACGCUUGUAAUUGACCACCAGACAACCUCUGGCAUAAUUGGAGGUUUGCUGGGGCUUAUAAAUGUCUUUCCUCGGUGAAUACGGAUUUCUGAACGUUUGAUCUCAAAUCAGG
rnacentral:rRNA from 1 species